GAGGGGGAGGGUAAAGACGGAACCCAGACCACGGUAGUGGCGGUAAUAAAUUCACAAGUACUGAGCCAUGUAUUCACAAAGUAAGGUCAAUAUAUCUAUAAAAAUCAAAUUAAAUUAAUAUCGUGAUAUAAAUAGUCGCUCAAAUGUCUUAUAUAGUGUCAGGAUAAAUCGCUCCAAAAAUUUAUAGAAUCGCUUACAAAAAUUCAUUGUCAGAAUAUUGCUAAAAAAUAUCGCCAGUAAAAUCGAUCAAAAACUUUAUAUAAUGUCAGGAUAAUUGCUCAAAAAUAAUAUCAGAAAUAAUCGCUUAAAUGUCUUGUAUCAUGUCAGGAUUAGUUGCUCAAAUGCCGUCUAUCCCGUCAGGUAAAAAUCCCUCAAAUGCCUUCCUUAUAUGAUGUCAGAAUUAAUCCCAUAUCGAGUCAAAUGUUUUAUAUCAUGUCAGACACAAUGGCCUAAAUGCCUGUGUUACAAUUUCAGUGGCCACAGAAACUGACAUGAUCAUACACACAUCCCUUUAACGUGGAAAUGUCAGGUCACUCACUAUGGGGAUGUUAGCUACGUGUUAGAGGUCAGCAAGGUGUUAGGAGGUGUCAGAGGGAUGUCAGUAAGGUGUCAGAGGGAUGUCAGUAAGGUGUCAGGGGGAUGUCAGCUAGGUGUCAAUAAGGUGUCAGGGAGUGUCAAUGAAGUGACGAGGGUGAAGUACUUGUCAGGGGUUGUCACGGGGAACUUUCAGAGGCUGUCAGGGGGAAGGUGUCAUGGUCUGUUAGGGGGAGCUGUCAGGGGCUGUCAUGGCGAAAGCGUCAUGGUCUGUCGGGGGCUGUCGGGGGGAAGAUGUCAUGGUCUGUCAGGGGAAGCUGUCGGGAAGCUGUCGGGAGCUGUCAAGGGGGAGCUGUCAGAGGAAAGCGUCAAGUGGUCUCCUACUUACAAACUCAUACGAAUUCUUGUUUUGCUCACAUUCUCAUAAUAUUCGUUCUAAUACUCACACUCAUAAUCAUUUCUCUGCUACUACUCACAAAUUCAUAAUAAUCCUUUUAUAACUAACAAACUCGUAAGAACACUUUCUAUUGCUACUCACACAAGCUCGUAAAAAUCCUUCUAAUACUCACAAACUAAUUCAUCUAUUGCUCACAAACUCAUAAAUCACACGCAAUCUAUUCUACUGCUACUCAUAAACUCAAACUGAUCUCCAUUACUGCUCAGAAACUACUUAUUUCAAUACUCACAAACUCAUUCUACUGCUCACAACUUCUCACAAUAAACCACCUGACUGUUUCUCAUAAGACACUCAUAAUCACUAAUACUCACACCACACACUCACAAAAUAUACAACACUGAUCAGUAAAUGUCUGUCUGUCUGAUCAUUUAACUGUAUGUAUUUCUGUCAAUCACCCCGCCUGCCUGUCUGCAUAUCAGUCCGUCUAUUCGAAUGUUAUUCCAUAUGCCUGUUUGUCUGUCUGUCUGUCUGUCUGUCUGCCUGUCUAUCUGUCUGCCUGCAUGUUUGUCUUUCUCUGCACGUUUCGUUCGAGAGAUAUUUGCCGUGGGCUCUGUGACCGGAGAACGAAAGUUAAUUGGUGGAAAAUGUAGCCUGGUGAAUUUUAUGAUUGGUGAAGGUGGGUUGUUCCUUGAUGCUGAUUGGUCGAGAACUUUAUGGAGACUGAACAGAAGUUAUGGUUCCUCUGUGAUGAUUGGACGAGUGCUGUGUGUCUUUAUACGGUGACUGGACGAAAUUUAAAGUUUGUUAACACGCCACACACUUGAUUCAGAAAAGAGAGAGAGAAAGAAAAAAGAGAGAGUGACACAGAGACAAAGUGAAAGAGAG
rnacentral:lncRNA from 1 species